UACGAAGGGAGCUAGCGUUGUUCGGAAUCACUGGGCGUAAAGCGCGCGUAGGCGGUUUGACAAGUCAAGGGUGAAAUGCCAGAGCUUAACUCUGGAACUGCCUUUGAAACUGUCAGACUGGAGUCUCGGAGAGGAUAGCGGAAUUUCUAAUGUAGCGGUGAAAUGCGUAGAUAUUAGAAGGAACACCGGUGGCGAAGGCGGCUAUCUGGACGAGUACUGACGCUGAGGCGCGAAAAGCGUGGGGAUCAAACAGGG
rnacentral:rRNA from 1 species